AGCGGGCCCAGGACCCGGCUCCGACCGCCGGCAGCCGGCUGAGGCCAGGGCGUGAGAGCCGGACCAGACGACGAGGCCGCCGCUUCCUGUCCGGCCCCGGGCAAGAGGGGACCCGAAGCGGGUCGCAGGGUCGGGAGGCGCGCGGGGCAGCGAGGGGGGACUCACCUCUCCACCCGCGCGGCCUCCGCUCGCGCCUGUGCGUUGGAGGAGUUCGGCGUCCAGCUGGAAGGCGUCCUUACCCGGGUCAGCACCAUCCCGCCCCGGGCCCACUCACAUCGCCAUCGCAGCAACCGCAACCACCGCAAGCCAGGAGUCAGUCAGUUCGUCACGGGGUGCUCGGCUCUCGGCCCAGCGCCGCCGCCGGCGAGCAUGCGCAGUCGCCUCGGUCCCGAAGGAGCGCGGCCGGCGAGCGAUACCUGCGUUCAACAGGUCCCGGCCCGCGGCCCCGCCCCUGGCGCUCUCCCCUCCCCCUCUCGCUGCGUCCCGCCCUCUCGGCGGCGAGGCCCCGCCCCCUCCGGACUCCGCGUCCCGCCCCCUAGGAGCCCGCAGCCGCUGUGCCCGCGCCGACGCCAACCGAGAUUUCAAGAUUUGCUCUCCUUUCCCGGCCCGCGCUCCCGAGUUCCCGCGAGAACGGAAGGCUUGCGUCAAUAAAAAGCGCGAGCCCCGGCGAGGUAAUGCUGACAUAAAUGCUACUGGAAGGAAUAAAUCACCAUGUGUUGUCAAAGCUUGUGUUCCUCGGACUCAGCAGCUCCUGGGACAUCCAGAUUCUUGUCUUUGGCUGUUCCUCUAUACUUUUUUCCAGAUGAGAUGAAUGAUCUCAAUCAGAGCUGCCUGUGUGGAACGAGGUCUCAGAGCUGGCUGUUACCCAGAGAUCUCAGUCAGGGUUGGCUGUAACAAAGCAAACAGAGCAGACCAGGAGGAGCAACCCACCAAGCAGCACCCCUCCACAGUCUCUGCUUCAGUUCCUGACUCCAAGUUCCCACCCUGGUGUCUCUCAGUGAUGGAUUGUGCCCUUGAGUUGACAGAUGAAAUAAAUCCUUUU
rnacentral:lncRNA from 1 species